UACAGAGGGUGCGAGCGUUAAUCGGAAUUACUGGGCGUAAAGCGUGCGUAGACGGUAGCGUAAGUCAGACGUGAAAGCCCCGGGCUCAACCUGGGAAUUGCAUUUGAGACUGCUCUGCUCGGGUGCGGAAGAGGGAAGCGGAAUUUCCGGUGUAGCGGUGAAAUGCGUAGAUAUCGGAAGGAACACCAGUGGCGAAAGCGGCUUCCUGGUCCGACACCGACGUUCAGGCACGAAAGCGUGGGGAGCAAACAGG
rnacentral:rRNA from 1 species